rnacentral:tRNA from 2 species
GCCGAUGUGGUGGAACUGGUAGACACGUGCGCUUGAGGGGCGUAUGGGGCAACCCGUGGGAGUUCGAAUCUCCCCAUCGGCACCA